UCCUUGUAUUUGAAAAAGAAAAAGUUCAAAAUAAUGAAAGGGUAUCUAGAGGACAUAAUUUCAAGGAAAUCAAGUUUUGGUUUUCCAUCCAUAUCAACCCCGCUGGAACCUCGGGAUGGAAGAUAUAUAACUGGUCAAGAAGCUUGAGAAAGUAGAUGAAUAAAUUCAAUGCUAUACCAGAAGGUCACUGCAAACAACCAUAGAUUGAAUGUGAAAAGUGCAGCUGUCACCAAACAUCUCUGAGAUAUCGUCCGUCCAUCUGGAGUUUCUUAACAGUAGACUCUGUCUUUGAUGAGUCCAAAUUUCCCUGCUCCUGAACAAUAGUAUGCAAAGUCCGAUGAACAUCUCUAGCCAUACCCUUGGCAUCACCACACACAUACAGAUAUCCCCCAUGAGAAAUUAUGCUCCAUAUUUGUGCUGCUUUGUCCACCAUCUUAUGCUGAACAUACUCCUUCUGUGGCCCCUCCCUUGAGAAUGCAACAAUCAGCUCAGAAAUCACACCUUGUUCCACAAAAUUAUUAAGCUCAUCUUCAUAUAUAAAAUCCAUUCGGCGAUUUCUACAUCCAAAGAAGAGCAGAGCAGGACCAAGCUGAGCACCAUCCACUUUCAGGGCCAUUCUUUCCUGUAGAAAUCCUCUAAAGGGUGCCAAUCCAGUACCAGGUCCCACCAUGAUGAUUGGAAUUGAAGGAUCAGAUGGUAACUUGAAAUUAGAUGUCCUGAUGAAAACCGGAGCCCAGCUACAGCCACUACUUUUCUCCAGAGUAAUUGCAUUCUUCAUCCAGGUUGAGCACACCCCUUUGUGAAUUCUACCGGUUGGCGUUGGACCAUAAACUAAAGCACAGGUCACAUGUACUCUGUUGGAAGCAAAUCUAGGGGAGGAUGAGAUUGAAUAGUAGCGAGGUUGUAGGCGAGGAGCCACUGCUGCAAAAAAUACCCCCAAUGGAGGUUUUGCAGAUGGGAACUCAGCCAUUACCUCAAGAAGACUUCUCUGACUUGCAACAACCCAUUGGGAGUACUCAUCCUUCCCCUGUGGUGAUGCUAAAAAUUUGAGUCUUUCUGCCUCACUAGGUUCUCUGGCAUGAGCAGCCAAAGCAAUCAAAGCAGCCUUUCGAGGAGGGUUCAAUAGAUCUGCAUAACGUGCCAAAGCAGAACGAAGGGUGCAAGGCCCUGGGAAAGGAGGUUGCAAUGAACUUCCAAGGGGUGUGCCAUCUUCAUUGUCAUUGUGAACAGAAAAUAGUAAAUCUAAGGGUUGACCUAACAACUUCCCUGCUUCUUCAACACUUUCAUCACUAUUUUCGGCAUAAACACCCACAUGGUCCCCAGUUUCAUAUGUAAUACCAGUCCCUGAUAUGUCAAACUCCAGAUGUAUGCAAGAGCGGUCAGACUCAGUUUUGUGGAGCUCCUUUUGAACAGCAACAUUAACUCUGCAUGGAUGGUGAAUAUCAAAUGAAGUAUUCCCAUUUGCCAAGUAUGAUGAUUUAUCCUCGCUAGUUGCAAAAGAAGCAUCAUGAAUCACCACUCGAUAUUCAGGUAUUGCAGCUGUAUAUGGAGUAGACCCACCACUCACAUCAUCUUCAUCUCUGAGUAACUGGUCUA
rnacentral:misc_RNA from 1 species